rnacentral:rRNA from 1 species
GACGUAGGGCGCGAGCGUUGUCCGGAUUUAUUGGGCGUAAAGAGCUCGUAGGCGGCUUGUCGCGUCGAAUGUGAAAACUUGGGGCUCAACUCCAAGCUUGCAUUCGAUACGGGCAGGCUAGAGUUCGGUAGGGGAGACUGGAAUUCCUGGUGUAGCGGUGAAAUGCGCAGAUAUCGGGAGGAACACCGGUGGCGAAGGCGGUUCUCUGGGCCUUACCUGACGCUGAGGAGCGAAAGCGUGGGGAGCGAACAGG